rnacentral:rRNA from 1 species
UACAGAGGUCUCAAGCGUUGUUCGGAUUCAUUGGGCGUAAAGGGUGCGUAGGCGGCGCGGUAAGUCGGGUGUGAAAUCUCGGGGCUUAACUCCGAAACUGCAUUCGAUACUGCGGUGCUUGAGGACUGGAGAGGAGACUGGAAUUCAUGGUGUAGCAGUGAAAUGCGUAGAUAUCGUAAGGAAGACCAGUGGCGAAGGCGGGUCUCUGGACAGUUCCUGACGCUGAGGCACGAAGGUCAGGGGAGCAAACGGG